rnacentral:lncRNA from 1 species
CCCUUUGGCCUCGAACAGCAUAGUCUGUUUUCUGACACUGACUUCCUUCCCUUCUGCGCCACGUCCUCCUGUCUGACUCUGCAGGACUCUGCCCAAUAAAUGUGGUCAGUUGAUUGAGUAAAGAAUGAGUUUGAACUCGCCAGGCCGAGCCCCCAGGAAGCCCCAUCCGUCUCUCCACACUUCUGCUGUCGCUCCCAUUGUGGGGGAGACAUUACUCAAACCACAGGCUGCAGACUCCCAGGAAUUGCCCCCUGGAGAAGACAACUUGAUUUUUCUCUUAGAUUUUGGGAGACUGAAUGUGCCAUCAGAUUCUGUCAAAGAUAACAAAGCCAUCCUCAACUUUGGGGCCGACAUAUAGACUCCACUGAACGCUCAGUCGCAGUGCUUUUUGUGUUAGAAAGACUCGUGGGAGAUAAGAAAAUGAAGUGUCUUUAUUUCUUUCCUCCACAAGUAGCUGGUUUCAGUGAGCGUUGGUGGCGUUGGUACCGUGGGUUCAUUAACAAACAUUCUAACGCUCGUCCUGUGUUUGACUCACCACGAAACCGUACACUAAAUCUGCUCCGUGUUCUUUGUAGAAUUCUGUAUGUGUCAUCUGGCUUGGAUUCACUAUCUGCGUUUUACAGAGAAGGAACAAAUUUGAACAAAAUAUAGAAGCUUUAAGCAACACACAUUGAACUCAAACAUUUAAGACUUAGAGUGAUCUUAAGCUCGUGUCUUUAUCUUGUCAUUUUCUGUGACGUGUGGUCUAUUUUGGAUGCUGAGUUUGUUCCACGUCCCCAGCAUCCAGAUAAUAUAAGGCGAGGAAUUCAGACUCUCCUAACAGAAAAAAGGAAAAUAACGUGAGAAAAUUGUACUGUUUUAUUUUAAC